rnacentral:rRNA from 1 species
AUUGAACGCUGGCGGAAUGCUUUACACAUGCAAGUCGAACGGUAGAGGGGGCAACCCCUCGAGAGAGGCGAACGGGUGAGUAAUAUAUCGGAACGUGCCCAGUCGUGGGGGAUAACGUAGCGAAAGUUACGCUAAUACCGCAUACGAUCUAAGGAUGAAAGCGGGGGAUCGCAAGACCUCGCGCGAUUGGAGCGGCCGAUAUCAGAUUAGGUAGUUGGUGGGGUAAAGGCUCACCAAGCCAACGAUCGGCAGCUGGUCUGAGAGGACGACCAGCCACACUGGAACUGAGACACGGUCAAGCCUCCUACGGGAGGCAGCAGUGGGGAAUUUUGGACAAUGGACGCAAGUCUGAUCCAGCCAUUCCGCGUGCAGGAUGAAGGCCCUCGGGUUGUAAACUGCUUUUGUACGGAACGAAAAGGUCUCUCUUAAUACGGGGGACUCAUGACGGUACCGUAAGAAUAAGCACCGGCUAACUACGUGCCAGCCGCCGCCGUAA